AGGAUUCAGUCUGUAGUUGCCAUCGGGCUGGUCGGGGGCUUCCCCGGGGCCGUCCGAUCGCCAAGGACAGACGCAUUUGACUCCCUCUCCGAGGACGCCGCAGCCCGCGGGGAAGUGCAAACGUGACGGCCUUAAGGUCGGGAAAUGGCAGGUGGCCGGUGGCGAGCCUCGUGCUCUUCGCCGGUUGUUAGCCGUCCCGUCAGUGGCUCGUCUCCCCGCGGAGGUAUCAUGACGUCCUUCGGGGCGUCUGGCAUCUCCUCCUCGUCUGGACGUGCAGUGGCGAGCGAAGGCAACCGCGCGGCCGCACUCUUCCGGAGUGGGCCAGCGGCCGUCGGCCGCUGAGGACCAGUCGGAGGUUGGAGGUUGGCGGCGAGUAGGUCGGUCACCCACCCGACCCGUCUUGAAACACGGACCAAGGAGUCUAACAUGUGCGCGAGUCAAUGGGUCUUGAACAAGCCCAGAGGCGCAAUGAAAGUAAAGGCCGACGCCAGUCGGCCGAGUCGGGAUGGGCGCACCGACGACCCGUCUUAUGCCGUUUACGGCUUGGGCGGAGUGUGAGCGUACACGUUGGGACCCGAAAGAUGGUGAACUAUGCCC
rnacentral:rRNA from 1 species